rnacentral:tRNA from 1 species
AAAAAUGAAAUUAUUUAAGUUUCGGCCUUAAUGUUUUUGAAAUAUUCAAACAUUUUUA